rnacentral:rRNA from 1 species
UACGUAGGGUGCAAGCGUUAAUCGGAAUUACUGGGCGUAAAGCGUGCGCAGGCGGUAAUGUAAGACAGUUGUGAAAUCCCCGGGCUCAACCUGGGAACUGCAUCUGUGACUGCAUUGCUGGAGUACGGUAGAGGGGGAUGGAAUUCCGCGUGUAGCAGUGAAAUGCGUAGAUAUGCGGAGGAACACCGAUGGCGGAGGCAAUCCCCUGGACCUGUACUGACGCUCAUGCACGAAAGCGUGGGGAGCAAACAGG